UACGUAGGCAGCGAGCGUUGUUCGGAGUUACUGGGCGUAAAGGGCGCGUAGGCGGCCCUCCUAGUCGCGUGUGAAAGCCCCGGGCUCAACCUGGGAACGGCGCGCGAAACGGGGGGGCUGGAGUUCGGGAGAGGAGCGUGGAAUUCCCAGUGUAGAGGUGAAAUUCGUAGAUAUUGGGAAGAACACCGGUGGCGAAAGCGGCG
rnacentral:rRNA from 1 species